rnacentral:lncRNA from 10 species
UUUCUUUUCUAACACACACAAUAUACCUAUUGGCUCAUUGUCUCUCUCAAGGGGUUCAAAAGGCAGGUAGAGAAGGCAUACAGUCUUCCUUGAUAUUUCACCUUAAUCUACAUGAUGUAUCAGUACUUCAUUACUUCCUUUCCACUGAUACUCAUCUCUGCUGUGUGGGACCUGGUUUUCUCACAAAAUAAUGAUGAUGAUAAUAAUAAGCAGAAUUUAUCUAUGCCUCAAUUCUCACUUUUAUUCCUCCCUAUAAAAAUGGUUACUUUUAUUUCUUUUAUUUAUGGUGCAAAUGAUGCAGGAUUUUUUGCUCCUUAGUUUAGCUAAAAUCUUCAUUCUUGUCUUCAUGACCAGGAAAAAUUAGACACAUGGACAUGUUGAAAGGUUAGGAGAACAGAAUUUAUUAAAAGAAAGUGCUCAGCAAAAAAAAGAGGGGGUCCUGCCAACAGCCUCCCACCUCACAGAUUGAAUACCAGGCCACCACCCAGGAGCUCAACAGGCCAGGCUCCUCCCCACUGCAUAAGUAGCCAAUGCUUGCUGAAGAAAUUUACAUAAGGUUUGUGAAGAAAUGCUUGCUGAAGAAAUUUACGUAAGGUUUGUGAAGAAAUGCAAAGCGUUAAGAGCCAUAAAUUGGAUGGAUAUGGAUCCUAGACAGAGAGGAUACCCUUUUACACUAAAUCUGGCAAUCAAGAUGGGGAGAGUUCAAGUAAUUAAGGAUUGUGAUCGGUCUACCCACAUGUUAGGCAUUUCAAGCCUGUUUGCACCAUUUUCCCUGAAACUUAAAAGAGUUUCGCUCUUGUUGUCCAGAGGCUGGAGUGCAAUGACGUGAUCUUGGCUCACUGCAACCUCCCAGGUUCAAGCGAUUCUUCUGCCUCAGCCUCCUAAGUAGCUGGGAUUACAGGCGCCUCCCACCAUGCCUAGCUAAUUUUUUGUAUUUUUAGUAGAGACAGGGUUUCACUAUGUUGGUCUCGAACUCCUGACCUCAUGUGAUCCACCUGCCUUGGACUCCCAACGUGCUGGGAUUACAGGCAUGAGCCACCGCUCCUGGCCUAAAAUUUGCCUUUUACAAAAACUCAACAAAAGAUCAUCUCAACUAAGGCAUACUAAAUAAUAUUUAAGACACAAACUUACAGGCUAAAAAAAAUAAACCUGCCAUAGUAACAAACACACACUCAGGAAUUACCUACACGAUAAACAUUUUAAAUUGCUAAACCAAAUAGAAGGAAACACAAAUAACAUUGUAAAGUUUGAUAGGUACUAGAUGGUAUUCAAAUGACCUCAAAUAUCUAAAGUAAGAUGCAAGAGUGUACCUCUUUCAGUUUCCCAAUUAGUUAUUUGUUUUAGAUUAAACAAUAGUGUAAUGCAUCAAUUCCUUGGGUAAUUUACCGAUUGGAAUUCCUAGUGUCAUCCUUGAGACACAAGCAAAAAAACUCAACAAUAUUAUCCACGUGAAAUGGGACCUCUAAACUGUCCUGUUUUGUUACAGCCUCUAAUGAGCCAAAAUAGUAUAAGAAUCUUGAAGAUUAAGAAUUUCUGUAGUGCUCUACUUGCCUGAAAUUUGGGGUGCUAAGCAUUAAAAAAAUGCAAUUUUAGUGUGUUAUACUUGCGGACAUUAAACACUAUGUGUAAAGGUUGAGAAUUUCUACCAUAAAAUACAUAGAUCCUCUGGAUGUAAAUCUUGUAUAUGACACAAACUAGAUGUUAGACCCUAAAAAAGAUGUUCAGAUUCUCCAUGUGUCAGUCUCUUCAUUUUAAAGAAUCUAAAAUACGAAGAAUAAAACAAUGUAGGGAAAGUCUUUAGAAUAAUGAAAUUUACUUGAUAAGCAUUCAAUAAAUAUUUGCUAUUAUUACUGAUGGUUAAUAUUGUCAACUUGAUUGGAUUGAAGGAUACAAAGUAUUGAUACUAGGUGUGUCUGUGAGGAUGUUGCUAAAGGAGAUUAACAUUUGAGUCAGUGAGCUGGGAAAGGCAGACCCACCCUUAAUCUGGUGGGCAUAAUCUAAUCAACUGCCAACGUGGCUACAAUAUAAGCAGGCAGAAGAAUGUGAAAAGAGAGACUAGCCUAGCUUCCCAGCCGACAUCUUUCUCCUGUGCUGGAUGCUUCCUGCCCUGGAACAUCAGACUCCAAGUUCUUCAGUUUUGGAACUCAGACUGGCUCUCCUUGCUCCUCAGCCUGCAGACGGCCUAUUGUGGGACCUUGUGAUCCUAUGAGUUAAUACUUAAUACAUUCAUUCAUAUAUAUAUAUAUAUAUAUAUAUAUAUCUGCAUUCCAUUAGUUCUGUUCCUCUAGAGAACCCUGACUAAUACAAUUACUAUUAAUGGAGACUAAGUUAUGUCAACUUAUCAACUUGAUAAAAUGUCCAACUUAAUUAUUUAGAGCAAAAAUGAGAGAAAGAGGUGAUAAAGGUAUUGUAAAUGUCAUUAAUAGAAUAAAUAUUCAGCAUGUUGUACAAAAAUUUUAAAUUUAAGUACAUGGGCUUAUUGAAAAAUAAUGUAUUUUUUCUUAUGCAUCUACUUAUAAAAAUGCUACAUGAUUUAAUAUGUGCUGACUGACAUUAAGGUAACUUUUUCUUCACUAUACAUUUGAAAAUUGUAUUGUUUCACGAAUUUCACUACAAAAUGCUCAACUUAAUGGUAACUUGACAGUAUUAUAUAAAGUCUAUGGUUAUAACUUGGAUUGUGUCUUCAAUGCUAUUUUAUGGUUUGAAAGUCCAGGAAAACAGUGUGAUUAACUUUCUGAGGCUCCAGGAGUGGCAGAAGUUUGUCAGCUUCUUUUCUUCUUAUUUUUUAGCUUUCAGGACAUCUCCAUAUGGCUAGGUUUUUCACUACCCUAGUGAAACUAGCCUCCCAGCGAUAUCAAGACAAAUUUCUCUUGAGCAAUUUCAAGAGAAUAGCACUCGUCUUUUUUCAUGUUAUAGACUACCAACUCAAGUCCACAUUUUUUAGCUGAGAGAUUUGUAUUACCCCUUAUGUUUGGCCCACGGAAUGAUCUCAACUCAAGAAAAUAUGUUUAUACCCUAUAUAUAGGCAGUGACCCUGUCUCCAAAAUAAAUCCAAAUAAAUAUAUUAGUCCUACAAUAAAUUUAAUAUAUUUUAUGUUAGAAUUAUGUGGACAGACAUACCACAGUUAUUACUAAUACUUUCUGCUUUUAUAUCUGGAAUAGCGGCCAGUUUCUAAAAUUAUCUACCAAGCAAUGUAGAAGACCCCUGAUAGAAAGCGGUGACAGUAUUUUAGUUUUGAUGCUUAGCAUAUUACAAAUGUUCAAUACAUAUAUUACGUAGAAAGGAUUAUUUAGAAGUUAUAUUACUAAAUGAUUUCCAAAGGCUAUCAUUAUUUAGAUAAUUUUACAUCAUUUUCUACUGCAUGAAAUAACUAUUUUACAAAUUUCUCAGACAGCUCUAAUAACAUAUGAUAUAGCCAAAUCCAUGGCACUUCUGCAGAAUUAUACUUCUCCACAUGUUGAUUCUUUUUUUAUUUUUUUACCAUUUAAAAAUAGAAGAUUGCCUUUGAAGUUUUCCUUAAAUGGGCUUUGAAAUUUGUGUUGGCUAAAAUUCACUAAUAAUAUUACCUUGGUAUAUGAUAAACAUAAAUUUUGCAGGUUUCAUCCACAUAACUUAUGAGUAAAUUAUUUUGUUUUUAAGAUGGGAUCUUCCUCUGUCACCCAGGCCGGAGUACAGUGGCUCAAUAAUAGAAGAUAGCUCACUGCAGGCUUGAACUCCUGGGCUCAGCAAUCCUGCUGCCUCGGUUCCUGAGUAGCUGGGACUAUAGGCAUGUGCCACCAUGCCUAGCUAAUUUUUUAAUUUUUAUUUUUAUUGUAGAAAUUGGGUUUUGAUAUGUUGCAAAGGCUGAUUUUGAACUCAUGGCUUCAAGUGAUCCUCUUGCCUCAGCCUCCCAAAGUUCUAGGAUUAUAGGCAUUAGCUGCUGCAUCUAGCUUGAAUUGAAAUUUUUAAGAGAAGGGCCUAUAGAUCUGAUGCUUAAGAAGUAAAUUUAGGUUAUUUUUAUAAUUAUACCAUUAUUUAAGUGUAUUAAAUGCUAAUUAAAUUUGUUUUGCUUGUAUUUGUUCAUAUUGAAAAACUUGGCUAAAGUUUAUUGCAGAAAGAUAGCCUUGUAUUACCUUGAUAAUAUACUCAGAUUUUAUGUGUUUCAUAUACGAUUUUCUUCUAUAUGGUUUGUUUCUGUGAUGUAAGUUAUUAUAAUGGGUAAACACUUUACUUUUCAUUCUUGUUAUUAGUUCUUUCAUAAAAUGUCUACGUAUAUACAUUAGAGAAUAUCAAAAAUAGCUUUCAGUUUGGCACUUAAAUUUAUAUGUUUCUAUUGCAAAUCUUUCCCAAUUCUGUUACUAAAAUAUAACCAAAUGUUAAGAAUUCAAGUAUUUUAGAAUUACUUUUCUUUGUAAGUAAAUUACAUAUCCAUGUGUUAUAGGUUGAAUUGUGUCCACCCAAAAAAGAUAUGUUGAAGUUCUAAUGCCAGUACCUCAGAAUGUGACUAUGUAAAAACAGUGUCUUUACAUAGGAAAUCAAAUUAUUUAAAAAAAUGAUGUCAUUUGAUGCUUUCUGACUAAGAAGGCCUUAGCAGUUCUCAGUUUGGGUAAACUUUAGACAAGUUUCUUCCUGACUCUAGGCCCCUGGAAUCCCUUUCUUAGAUUUACUUAGAAAACUUGUUAUUGUAAUUUUUUUCGCCUGUCCUUUGGGAUGUAAAUCUUCUCCCAGCUUCUUGCCAGUUUU